AAUUAUAUUAAUUAAAGUUGCAGGAAUUUCGACCAAGAUUGAGUUCGGGACUUUCAGAAAAAGAUCAAUUUCAUGAUUCUGCUUCAUAUAUUUCUAAUAAAAUAUCAACACCAAAGCCUCGACAUUGUAUAGCACUACAUGUGCAUGGUAUAAGUGAAGUUGGAUUGGAUAUAAAAGAAGAUCUUGUAAAGGCACUACAAAGUAAGUUAGAUGAUGCAGUAUUAGAUGUUAUUACAAUGAUGUUGAAAAGAAAUUCAAUGUGUAAAUUAACACCAGAAGAUGUACAUUUUAUACAAAAAGUAGGAAAAGAACCAACUCAUGUAACUCAUUAUACUCUCCAUGCUCAAGCAUUUCCACAUUUGCAUGCUAUUGGUGUCUAUCUUCGGCAAAAUUUACUGCACUUUCUUCAUACUCCAAAAUAUAAAGAUAAUAAACCAGAACAUCAUUUUCGUCCUUAUCCUGAUGAUCUGUCGCAAACAUCAUUUAGUGAUGAUGAUGUUUUUUUACAUUUUCUUUAUCAAAGUUCAGGUGUGUCAGGAAACAAAGGUAACUAUAUUUAUUUCAAAUAUUUUUUUAAUUUGUUAGU